CCACAACGGUGUCGUCCAUGGAUCAAAUUAUUUCGUGGAUUGGAUUUCACUUGCCUGUCUACGGUUCCCUUGCGUGUGCUCGGGAUAGGUGUUUUGGCCCAACGAUCUUUUAUAUAUUUUUCCAGUAGUAAUUCUAGGUACUAUUGCAUGUAA
rnacentral:rRNA from 1 species